rnacentral:rRNA from 1 species
UAAGAGGUCAUGACUGCCCUGUGACGUAGAGUUUAACGGCCGCGGUAUCCUGACCGUGCGAAGGUAGCGCAAUCACUUGUCUUUUAAAUGGAGACCCGUAUGAAUGGCUUGACGAGGGCUUAACUGUCUCCUUUUCUUAAUCAAUGAAAUUGAUCUUCCCGUGCAGAAGCGGGAAUAACGUCAUAAGACGAGCAAGACCCUAUGGAGCUUUAGACACUAAGGCAGCUCACCCCCCUCCCCCCUCCAAAAAAGGACUAAAUUAAGUGAUCCUGCCCUAAUGUCUUUGGUUGGGGCGACCGCGGGGAAGCACUUAUCCCCCACGUAGGCUGGGAAUACCUCCUGUGAACAAGAGCUUCAGCUCUAACAAUCAGAACCUCUGACUAAAAGUGAUCCGGCAAAGCCGAUCAACGGACCGAGUUACCCUAGGGAUAACAGCGCAAUCCUCUUUCAGAGUUCCUAUCGACAAGAGGGUUUACGACCUCGAUGUUGGAUCAGGACAUCCUAAUGGUGCAGCAGCUAUUAAGGGUUCGUUUGUUCAACG